rnacentral:rRNA from 1 species
UACGGAGGAUGCAAGCGUUAUCCGGAAUUAUUGGGCGUAAAGCGUCCGCAGGUGGUACAUCAAGUCUGCUGUCAAAGACCGGAGCUCAACUCCGGGCAGGCAGUGGAAACUGGUGAACUAGAGUACGGUAGGGGUAGAGGGAAUUCCCAGUGUAGCGGUGAAAUGCGUAGAGAUUGGGAAGAACACCAGUGGCGAAGGCGCUCUACUGGGCCGUAACUGACACUCAGGGACGAAAGAUAGGGGAGCGAAAGGG